rnacentral:tRNA from 2 species
GCCGCCUUAGCUCAGUAGGUAGAGCAACGCACUCGUAAUGCGUAGGUCGGGGGUUCGACUCCCCCAGGCGGCU